UAUCUUUCACCUGCCAUUUUGCAAUUUGCUGCAGUAUAAGUGUAUCUCUUAACUAUAUGCAUACAUAUAUGUGGGUGUAACAGAAGGAGCUGUGUGAAUGUGUGUAAGAAAGAAGAUUUGAAGAGAUAUUGAUAUUAAAAGUCGCUUUCUCAUCUCUGAUUCUCAUGGCGAAAGCGACACAUCAUCUUCAUUUGUAUUUAUACCCUCUCUCAUUUUUCUACAACAUCCUCUUCCCUUAUUUCCCGCAAGAAAAAAAGGAGAAAUUUUUGCCCUUUUUCCCAAUCAAACACUGCCCUUUGAUCCUUUCACUGCCUCACUGUUCUUUUUCUUUCCCCCUUUUUAAAUAAAUUUUUUCUCUACUUUUUGAUUUACCAUUGCCCUUAAUCUGUCACUCAUAAACCAACUGAGCUAGUGUGGACUGAUUUACCCUUUCCUGUCUCUAUUUAUUGCAGUGAAGUGGCAUUCAUAAGCACCUGAAGUGAAUGAGGUAGUUAAAGCAUAUCAAGAAUUGCUUGAGAUACCAUGGGGUUUCAGAUUUUUCUAGCAGUUUAUGCUCUUAUAUCUUCUGUCUAUUACCUUAUCCUUUCUUUUUUGCAGUUUCAGCCCAAAGAUGGUACCUUUUAAGGUUUUCUUGUGGUCUAAUUUUGCUGGGGACUGUUAAUUGCUUUAUUAGAUAGUCUUGGUAAUGCAUGUUCAUCAUACUGGGAGAGUUUUGUUGGCUUACUUUUCAUAUUAGGUUUUGUGAAUGAGUUAAUUUGGUCCAGUAUCUGUGAUGAUUUAUGGCUUUUGGUUAGGAUCAAGUGAUAUAUUGGUAUUGUGUAGCUCUUUUGAGGCGCGGUUUUCGUUGAAUUUCAAUCUCAUCAGUCAAGAUGCUUUUUCUAAUAACAAAGAAAUUGGCCAUUUAAGUUUCAUAUCAUGUUGAAGAAGUCAUAUUACCAUGCUCAGUGCUUCUUUUCUUUUUGAUUAUAGAGAUUUCAUAGUAUGUUGAUCAUUACUUUUUGGUUUUCGGUUUUGUAAUCCGUUUCUGGGACUAAUCGGAUUGGCUGAGAAGUUUUUGAAGAACUACUUUCUUUUGUUUCUUGGCUUUGUGUGAUUGAACUAACCAUAGAGAUAUAUGUAAACGGGUAAUUCUUUUUAUGAAAUACAUUUAAGUUUCUGCAGAUGGGUAACGAUUUGUGCAGAGGUAUUGACAAACCAUAGAAAAGGACUUGUUUUUAGAUGAAACGAGGCUGGUGGAAAUGCUCCGUAUAGGUAUAUCUCAAGCAGGAACGAGGAUAGAAGUAAUACCAUUUUACCCCACACUUCGCUUUUUCACCUUUUAGACGAGGUUAUUGUUAUAAUUUCUUCUUUGCUUUGUGAAAUGGAACCAUCAGCCCUCGGCUUGCUGCUGUGAGUAAUGAAGAUAGCUGAUUUGCCGGGGGCCAAUGGUUCCAUUUUUCUUUUACUUUUAAAUUAUUAUUUAGUAUUUAGCGUAACUAUGAUAUUGACAUUACAAUAUGAUAUUUCUACCAAUCUGAGUAUACCAAUGCAUUUACCGAUUCUUCUUCAUUACAACACACACAGUCACGCAAAGGGAAUGAACACCCAACACUAAUGCUUUCUAUAAGGUGGGACUUGAACUAUUCUAAUCAUAGUCUUGGUUUUCUGCAUUGUUUGUGCUUUUCGUUUUUGUGCCUUAAACUUCUGGUGAAAAUGGAAGGGGAUCUGAUUUUUCUUGUGUUACAUUGCAUCUCUAUUAAACUGUUGGAAGCUUAUAUCCUAAGAAGGCGACUUGAAAUGUUACAAUUUGUGAAUUUAUGCCUUAAUAUUAUGCCCUAAAAUUUUCAAUUGAUGCUCUCGGUUACUGCAUUGGGGAAUGGUCUGAGAGAGCUUCCUUCAGCCCACUCAUGGAUGAGAAUUGGGGUUGAAUUAGCUGCCACCUCAUUCAUCCAAUCACUCAGUAGAAAAGAUUACGCUUUGUGCUACUGUGAUUGAGUGAAUGAUGCGGGAGAUAGUUUUCUAUCCCGCUCUUUCUUUGCUUGGACUGAAGGGAGCUCCCUUUUUCUAUUACCUCCAUUUUUUUCUCUUCCCGCAUUUAUACUCAUUUCCUUCUUCAUCCUAACAAAUAACAAUAAUGCUUCAGUGUUAUUAAGCAAUGUCCUAAUAUUGCUAGGGACAUUGGGAACGUGUCAGUUCGCCAUGUCAGUAGGUUAGCGAUUCAUGUGGCUCAUGUGUUAGCACGGGCGUCUGGUUCUGUGUCUGUCUUGAGGUAGUGGGUUUCUGUUCCUCCGGCCUGUAUUUCGUCUUUGGUUGAUUAUUAAUAUAUCUCGUUUGUUGAUUUUCAAAAAAAAAAACAAUAAUGCUUCCUACAUGACGUUUCUUAUGAUCUUAUCUCCUUGCAACUUAGCUAUGCAGCCUAUGCUAUGCAAUGAUUUCCUUUCUUCAUUAUGAUGACUACCUCGAAUGAUGAAUGGCAUUUCAAAGCUUCCCAUCCCGAGUUUUUCCCUGUGUAGGAACUAACUGCUGCUCGUUAAUGAAAGAACUAUGAUUAUGACGUUUGUUUCUUUUGCACUACUCCACAGUUUCUUGAUAUGAAGCAUACUUCUGGAUCUUAGUACCGAGGUUUCUUACAGGCUUUAACUAUACAGCAGUUGAAAAGGCAACUAUGAACUAUGCUCGAGAAUAUCCACUAGAAGAUCUAAAGUCUGCUGAUCAGGUUUCUCUCCUGAACUCGAAUGUCUUUUGCAUGGCUUGUUAUGCAUUGAGUUCUGAUUAACCAGGCAACCACUUGCGAAAAUAUCAAUUGGUGACGAGUCAUCUCGAAGAAAGUACAAUCUUUUUUCCGUUUUUCCAUUUGCUAUAAAAACAUUUGCUCUCUUUUUUAUAUCUGGAAAAGAAAGUUGCCUCAGCAGUGGCCUUUGCAUGUGGUUGUAGCCUGCUGAGUUGAUUGCUAGUUGUUACGUAGUUUAUUCACAAUUAGGUCACGCGACUUGUCGGAUUACGAAACUUAGGGUUGCAUGGGAUUGAGGUGAUGCCAUUUUAUUUGCCAAUUAUAGAGACCUGGAAGGGAUUGGGGGGACCUCUGCUACUUGAAACUCUUGUUUAGAAAAGGACCUUUAAUUUCCUGCAAUAAUAUGGAGUGUAUUGUAGGUUGUUUACAGAAUUUUUUUUGAUUUAAAUUUUUUGGGUCCUGUGAAAUGUCAACUAUUUCUACUUCUAGGGUGGUCCCUCAUCAUUUUGGGGUGUAAAUAGGCUAAUUUGUUGGUGUAUCAGAGCUGCUGAGGUUCUGAUGAAUGUUGUAUUAUUGUAAACAAUCUGUCAUUUUAUGGUCCCCUCUAUCUUUAGGGCCUUAGGGGCAGUCUCAUUUUGUUUAUGAGAUUAGUUUCUUUGGAGUAUUCUCUCUGGGAAUUGAGUUUUACAUGAUCAAGAGGGUGUUGGUAAUAAUUGAACUAGUGAUCUUCUAGUACGAAAAUCAUGUUUUAUCCACUCGAUCACCUCUUCCGAGGCGGAGUAUUGUCCUUUUGAUGUGUGGUGUAUGACAGUUCCGGUUGAUUAAGGCUAAUUUUUUCAAGAUUUCUUUCAAUUUUUUUGGUCAGACCACAGAGGUGUUAUUUCCAUUCACAUCGGGCUGACCCAAUUAAGAGGUAAAGUGUUGGUGAGAUUGGUUUUUCCAUACGAGAAAAGGAGUUCGAACUCCCAACCUUUCUUAAGGGAUGAGAGUGCACAACCACUUAUGUCAACCAAGCUGUUGUGCAACUCGGGAUCUACUUUCUUCAUAGACCUUUGGACGGGUUUAUGAAAAUCCAUGACAUGUGUGUUGAAGCGUUUGCAUUUUGCACUGGUGCAACUCGAGAUUUACUUUCUUCAUGGAUCUUUGGGCGAGUUUAUGGAAGUCCAGGACAUAGUCCCACGAAGCUGGGUUAUUAAAAAAAAUGUCAUGGUUUAACCUACACCAUGCAAAAGUAUGUGUAGCUCUUAGGGUCUAUGGCUCCCCAUAGUCCCUAUCCUUCUUUAUAUUGACAGGUGAAAGGUGACUAGUUAGGAAUAUAAAAAAAUUGUACUCAGGACCACUUUCUGCAGAAGACCACAAGAGUUAAAUGGUUUAAAAAAUGCAUAUUUCCCCGAAAAGAGUAGCCGAGUUGGUAGAAUAUAACUUUGUACUUGAAGAUUACGAGUUUGAUUCUUAACAACACUUUUUUGUCAAAUUAUUAUAUUGAAACGGAGUUAUACA